CGUGGGUAACCUGCCUGUAAGACUGGGAUAACUCCGGGAAACCGGGGCUAAUACCGGAUAACUUCUUUCCUCGCAUGAGGAAAGAUUGAAAGAUGGCUUUUGCUAUCACUUACAGAUGGACCCGCGGCGCAUUAGCUAGUUGGUGAGGUAACGGCUCACCAAGGCAACGAUGCGUAGCCGACCUGAGAGGGUGAUCGGCCACACUGGGACUGAGACACGGCCCAGACUCCUACGGGAGGCAGCAGUAGGGAAUCUUCCGCAAUGGACGAAAGUCUGACGGAGCAACGCCGCGUGAGUGAUGAAGGUCUUCGGAUCGUAAAACUCUGUUGUUAGAGAAGAACAAGUACCGUUCGAAUAGGGCGGUACCUUGACGGUACCUAACCAGAAAGCCACGGCUAACUACGUGCCAGCAGCCGCGGUAAUACGUAGGUGGCAAGCGUUGUCCGGAAUUAUUGGGCGUAAAGCGCGCGCAGGCGGUUUCUUAAGUCUGAUGUGAAAGCCCACGGCUCAACCGUGGAGGGUCAUUGGAAACUGGGAGACUUGAGUGCAGAAGAGGAGAGUGGAAUUCCACGUGUAGCGGUGAAAUGCGUAGAGAUGUGGAGGAACACCAGUGGCGAAGGCGACUCUCUGGUCUGUAACUGACGCUGAGGCGCGAAAGCGUGGGGAGCGAACAGGAUUAGAUACCCUGGUAGUCCACGCCGUAAACGAUGAGUGCUAAGUGUUAGAGGGUUUCCGCCCUUUAGUGCUGCAGCUAACGCAUUAAGCACUCCGCCUGGGGAGUACGGCCGCAAGGCUGAAACUCAAAGGAAUUGACGGGGGCCCGCACAAGCGGUGGAGCAUGUGGUUUAAUUCGAAGCAACGCGAAGAACCUUACCAGGUCUUGACAUCCUCUGCUAACCCUAGAGAUAGGGCGUUCCCCUUCGGGGGACAGAGUGACAGGUGGUGCAUGGUUGUCGUCAGCUCGUGUCGUGAGAUGUUGGGGUUAAGUCCCGCAACGAGCGCAACCCUUGACCUUAGUUGCCAGCAUUCAGUUGGGCACUCUAAGGUGACUGCCGGUGACAAACCGGAGGAAGGUGGGGAUGACGUCAAAUCAUCAUGCCCCUUAUGACCUGGGCUACACACGUGCUACAAUGGAUGGUACAAAGGGCUGCGAGACCGCGAGGUUAAGCCAAUCCCAUAAAACCAUUCUCAGUUCGGAUUGCAGGCUGCAACUCGCCUGCAUGAAGCCGGA
rnacentral:rRNA from 1 species